rnacentral:tRNA from 1 species
GCUAGCGUAGCUUAAUUAAAGCAUA